GCCGCCGUAGCUCAGCUGGCAGAGCGCCGGCCUUGUAUCCGGUACCUCUGGGAGUACCGGCCGGAGAGCCGGUGGUCGCGGGUUCAAAUCCCGCCGGCGGCU
rnacentral:tRNA from 1 species